CAGGAAUUAAUAAAAAUGUCUCCAAUUUCAUGGCCGCAGUGGUUUCCUGCUUUUGAGAGAUCACAAAAGAAAAUCACUGAAUGCCACAAUUUAAUUAUGUAUUUCAGGGUGUCUCUGGAUGUAUUGCUCCUUUUUGGAAAUUCUGCAUCCCCAUUCUGGUCCCUCUCUUUGUCUUUCCCCAUCAUUCCACGUCACGCUUUCAUUUUUCUUUUACUUUCUCUCAGCACUCAUUUCCAUUUCUUUUCCUCUUUUUUUUUUCUUAUUUCAAAUUUCUCAUUCAGAUCUCAUCCCCUGUCCUUUCUGUCUUGCCCGGCCCCCUCCUUUUUUUGUACCCUUGUGUUCUCUUUUAUAUUGCUGCCUCUCUCCACCAGUGCUCUGAUUCAUUCCUCCUCUGCUUCACUCUUUUACAUGGGCAGGUGGCAGAGCAGCUGGCCUACUAUGGCCAUGUGUCAGAGACAGUAAUCACAGAGGAGAUGUUUGACGCCGCUGUGCAAUUUGGCACAGUGCAGGGUGACCCCACCCAGAGCUGAGCAAGACGACCUGUUUGGAUAGCCCCCCGGUUGCCCCAAGCACCGACUGGGAAAGGAGCAUCAAGGACGGCUCACCUCACACCUCAACGGCCUCGCAGAUGAGUAAUGAGAUCAUUCGCCUGUGCUUCCAAAGCAUCUCCCUGGACAAGAUCUUUAAGGGCUAUGUGAUCCCCAGCAAGCAAAACCUCAGCAAUUUCAUCCAGCGAUUCCACUCCUGGAAGGAAAGUUACCUGCACGCCUCACAGGUUUACCGCAAGAACCGUUAUGAGAUGUGGUUAUUAAGGAGUUAUGUUGAUGAUCUCUACUCGAGCCAGACUCGUGCUGCGCUUGGCUGUCUGUCUUUUGACAUCAUCACACAACACCUGCUCUUCAUAAGUGCUCUCCUGAGACGGCACAGACGUUGAUGCCUCCGGUCAUUUUUCUGUCCCUUAUAACAGACUGUCCCAGGGUGCUAUGUAAAACUACUGGCUGAAGACACAACUCUGGCCAGGAAUCCAAGGCCCAAAGCCACCGCGGUCAGGGUUGUUAGCCUGGUUACAAACAGGGGAAAGGUGGUCACUUGGAAGAACAAGCAGCCAAAACGUAUCAAUCCUGCAUCUUCCUCAAAAAGGUUUGCUACCAACCUUUUCAGGCCUGACUUCGUUCGAGGCUGGGUCUCCACAUCACAUCCUGGGAGCUGGAACUUCCCCAAAACUGGUCCAGUUUCCUUGUCAGGGGCACAGAGAGUCUCCAGUCCAGUGUUUGUUUUCCUGCCUUCCAGCACAUCCACUCACAUCCCAAUAAGAAUGAGUCCUCCCUCCAACAUCCUCAGUUUACUUUAAAAGCAAAACCAGGCCAGCCUCCCAUUUCCACUGUGAGCAGCAACUAUAAACUUUUGUGUCUUCAGGAUUACCUUUCCAUCACGGGAUGAAUGAAGUGUGAAAAGCAAUCUGAGAAUCGCCAGGCCACUUCUGCGGAUGCAAUUAUGCCAAUGGCAGAUCAUUUUCUGACCUUUAUCCUCCAGCCAGUGUUGAUGGCAGUUUGCCACUGUGACAGACUGCUUUUUGUUUUCAUGUAUUUUACAGUUGUGUGACAGCUGAAAACCUGGCUCUUAAAGGCUGAGGUGCUCAUCCGUUUGAAAGACAGCCUGACUUUUUGUGCUGCUCUUUUUCUUUCGCUCUCUAUUUACUUAUGUUGUGUAUGUCCCUGUCAGUGUAACAUUCUCAUUAUUUCUUUACUGCCACUUCUGUCUCCUUCCCUCUCUCUCUUCCUCUGUAUUUUUUGUCCCAUUUCUCUCUUUCUGUCUCCGUAUUACGUGUAUUUCUAUCAGGUAUUUUCCAAAGUCUGUGUCCAGGACCAAACCAGUGUUUUUGUUCUGGCUGAUGCCUUCAUUCAAAGGUUCACGGUCCUGCUUCAGGUAAAUUGCUCCUUCUGACAAACAACCACGAGCACAGAUACAGACACACACCUUUGAACGUAGUGUUGUAGUCCAGUUUCUCAAUUCUGCAGGUUUGUGCUUUUCCAUCCAUUUCAUCUUGUUGUCAAGCUGGUUUUGUCACGUGUUGUAUUUUUGCAUUUGCACAUAGUCCUGUUUACCUGUGCUCAUAUGUUUUUGCUAUUUUGCAAACUGGUGAGCUGUCAUCUCUCAUGGAAUACAUAGUCUGUCUCAUUUGUGAAGAUUUCCUGCAUUAUUUUUUUUUAAAUUCCUGUUUCCCUUUUCCUCCUCAAUUAAAAUCAAAAUACAAAAUACAUUUCUCCUAAAAAAAUUAUUGAUUCGAUUGCAGUUCUGUGACAUAAGUACAUUUCACACUGAUUUCCAAAUUGACUUGUCUAUGAACUCUCCAUUCUACUUGUAUAAUUUACACUCUUAUCACUGCUAC
ensembl:lncRNA